GAUGAACGCUGGUGGCGUGCCUAAUACAUGCAAGUCGAGCGAACAGACGAGGAGCUUGCUCCUUUGACGUUAGCGGCGGACGGGUGAGUAACACGUGGGUAACCUACCUAUAAGACUGGGAUAACUUCGGGAAACCGGAGCUAAUACCGGAUAAUAUUUCGAACCGCAUGGUUCGAUAGUGAAAGAUGGCUCUGCUAUCACUUAUAGAUGGACCUGCGCCGUAUUAGCUAGUUGGUAAGGUAACGGCUUACCAAGGCAACGAUACGUAGCCGACCUGAGAGGGUGAUCGGCCACACUGGAACUGAGACACGGUCCAGACUCCUACGGGAGGCAGCAGUAGGGAAUCUUCCGCAAUGGGCGAAAGCCUGACGGAGCAACGCCGCGUGAGUGAUGAAGGUCUUCGGAUCGUAAAACUCUGUUAUUAGGGAAGAACAAACGUGUAAGUAACUGUGCACGUCUUGACGGUACCUAAUCAGAAAGCCACGGCUAACUACGUG
rnacentral:rRNA from 1 species